UACGUAGGGGGCAAGCGUUGUCCGGAUUUAUUGGGCGUAAAGAGCGUGUAGGCGGCCGCACAGGUCCGUUGUGAAAACUGGAGGCUUAACCUUCAGACGUCGAUGGAAACCGUGCGGCUAGAGUCCGGAAGAGGAGAAUGGAAUUCCUGGUGUAGCGGUGAAAUGCGCAGAUAUCAGGAAGAACACCCGUGGCUAAGGCGGUUCUCUAGUACGGUACUGACGCUCAUGCACGAAAGCGUGGGGAGCAAACAGG
rnacentral:rRNA from 1 species